GCGCGCGAGGGAGAAGUCCCCUUUUCCUUACCCAGGUGCACACACACACACACCGUUUCGCCUCGCUCCGUCUCUCCCCCCUCCGCAAAGACACCAAAAAAAAAAAAGACAUCCCCUGAAAAUAAGCCAUGGUGUGUUUUUUGGGAGGAAAAAUAAAUAUAAGACGUGUCUUAUUUUAGGAGAAACACGGUAUGUAUGAUGUGGAGAAAUUCAUUCAUUCAUUCAUUUAUUGAUUGCUACAUUUUUAUCCCACCAUUUCUGCAAAGAGCUCAAGGUGCCAUACAUACUUCCCCCCUCCUCUACAUUUUAUCUUCACAACAACUCUGUGAGGUAGGUUAAGGCUGAGAAACAGUGACUCGCCCAAAGUCACCCAGUGGGCUUCAUGGCUGAGCAAGGAUUUGCACCCUGGUCUCCCAGGUCCAAUUCUUGCAUGCUAACCAAUAGUUAAUCAGUCAGUCAGUAAGUAAGUACGGUAAGUAAGUACCGGUAUGCCACCCUAUGUAGAUCUCAGGGUGGAUCACAACAUAAAAUCACAAAAUAAAAAGCACAAAAUACAUAAUAAAAGCAAAAACCAAGACAACCCAAUAAUCCCAUUUUAAAACAUUUUAAAAGGGCAUUGGGUGUCUAUCAGCCAAAUGCCUGGUUAAAGAGGAAAGCAUCCCACAAAUGGGGUGCCCCUGCAGAAAAGGCCCGUUCUCGUGUUGCCACCCUCAGAACCUCUCGUGGAGGAGCCACACUGACUCGCCUUCCUUUAUUCCUUCUUUCAUAGGACUGGAACUCAGGGUUAUCCAGUGAAAUUAACUGACAGUAGAUUCACACACAUUGCUUAUAUUACGAAAUUUGCUGCCAUAAAAUGCAGUGAUGGGCACCAACUUAGAUGGCUUUAAAAGGGUAUUAAAAAUUCAGAGAGGACAUUAGUUGUUAUGGCUGUGCUGGACCUCCAGAUUAAGAUGCAAGAUGCCUCUGAAUAUCAGCUGCUGGGGAACAGUAGAAGAAAAGAGCAAUUUGCCUUCCUGUUCUCUGAUGGCAUCCAGUUGUGCACUGGGCAAAGUGGAAUGAUAGGCUAGAUCAAGCAUCCCCAAACUCGGCCCUCCAGAUGUUUUGGGACUACAGUUCCCAUCAUCCCUGACUACAGGUCCUGUUAGCUAGGGAUGGAGAAAGGUAGAAGAAGCAGAAGCCAAUGAAGAGAUGCAGCAAUAGGGAAAGGUGAGUUGAAUUUCUAUCAGCUAGGUUAAAGCCACAGAGCUUUUGUCUGUAAGGAACAAUAGUUUCAAGAUAUAAAAAAGUGGAUUGGGCUUUAAAGGAGGCAGAGAGGGAUUGAAGUUUAUGCAGGUAAUUCCUACCCUAGUUAGAGGUCGUUUUUCAGCAAUAGAGUCAAACAGAAUGUCGGAGGCUUUCUUACACCAAGUCUGACCUCUCUACAUUAUGCAAGGUCAGACCUCUGAUUACUGUCCCUAGCCCAGUAUUAUCUUUGCUCAUUGGCAGUGACAUUCCAGGUUCUCUAGCAGGGGACUUUUACAUCGCCUGCUAUUUGGUCCUUUUAUCUAGAGGUGCAUGGGUUUUAAUUUGGUACCUUCUGCAUGCAAAGUCACUUCCUUGGUAUUUCCCAAUUAUGAAUGCUAAGGACCACUUCAUACAUUAUGCCAAGAAAGCAGGACUGUAACAAACAUGUUUUCCAAAUACAUACCGUAUAUAAGUACGUUUGUAAGGUUGCUGUAAUUGUCUAUAGCUUGCUGUUGAGUGCGUGCUCAGUGUAAACCUCACUUUCCCUCUGGAUUUAAUGUGUGAAAUGGUCCUGCCUCUUUUAGAGACAAAGGAGGCAUUUUAUAACAUAGUCUUAUCAAAUGCCUACAACAACUAUCAACUGAAGCUCUUCACAUGCUUUAUUUAUUCCACUGAUUUGGCAGAUUCCAGUCUGACCUGCAUCCCAGCCUUCACUCCUCUCCCAUCUUUGCUUUUGGAGAGAGGUUGUUUGCACCCAUCAGUUUCCAGGCUAAAGCAGGCAUCCCCAAACUUCGCCCCUCCAGAUGUUUUGGACUACAAUUCCCAUCAUCCCUGACCACUGGUCCUCUUAGCUAGGGAUCAUGGGAGUUGUAGGCCAAAACAUCUGGAGGGCCGCAGUUUGGGGAUGUCUGGGCUAAAGUGACAAAGCUAAGCUCUGUGAACAUUUAUAUUGCUUUAUGCUCAGAUCACUAAUAAGCAUUAUCAUCAUUCUACAUCCAGAGCACUUUGCAAGUAGUUCUCUGGCCUCUGUGGAUUGAUUGUGUGGAAAAAAAUAACAUCUGUAGUCGGAUGCAUGCAUGCUAGUUGUUUGAACUUUUGCAGUCUAUGUUCUAAGUAUAUUUUGACAAUCACAGCACCAUGAGUGUGUCGAGAGAGACGAUUCAUUCUCUUCCCUGAAUUACAUAGAUUUAACUAUUGACCUGAAAAUCCUCUGUUACAACUUCUUGGCUGGCUAUUUCAGAGCAUUCCAGGAUUGCAAUUCCAUACUUCAUCUGUGAUUUUCUUUUUCUUCUUUUUUGCCAAGAAAUGGAAUUUCAAAUGUUUCUGAAAAGGGUAAUCGUGUCGGCAGAUACAAAGUUAGGUUCUGUUGUGUGUAUUAGUGAAUUGGAUAUUAUUGGAAGUGUCCAUUAAAAAAAAAGCUUCAGAAACCACAUGAAGGCACCCUGUGAUACUUAUUAACAAGGCACAAUAGUUCUGCUUUCUAGCAUACAGCACAACAUCCCCCUUUUUGAGGUGGAAGAGAUAAAGAGAGCAUUGCAAGCCUUGAAAGCCAUUCCUUUCCCUCCCUCUGGUGGUGGUUCCUGAUUCCAGGUUGUUGUUUCUUAAAUGAAUAUAUAAAUGCACUACAGUGGUACCUCGACAUCCAAAUGACUCGACUUCUGAAGGUUUCAACUUCCGAAGUCGGCAAACCCGAAAGUCUUUUCGCCGCGUGCGCGUUCUGCGCAUGCGCAGAAACGCAAAAUAGCACUUCAAAACAGGCGCUUUAGCAACCGAAGAAUUCAACUUACGAUGAGCGCCACGGAACGGAUCGCCUUCAUAAGUCGAGGUACCACUGUAUUUGAAUACAGAUUACGUAGACAUGAAACUACAGGGUUAAACCCCCUCCCUGAUGAAAUAUAAAUUGGAAGCCAAACAGUAUGUUAAUAAGGCUUGGUUUACGGGACUGUAUUAACCUUGGUUGCCCUAGGAGAGGAAUGGAUGGGAGUGUGAUCUUGCUGCUUUUGCUCAAUCUCUCAGCAGCUUUUGAUACCAUCAACCAUGGUAUCUUACUGAACCGGCUUGGUGGGAUAGAAUGGGAGGCAGUGUGUUGCAAUGGUUCCACUCCUACCUACAGAGCUGUUUAGAGGGUGGCUUUGGGUGAUUACACCUUGCCCCCCCCCCCGGCAGCUGUGAUGUGGAGUGCUCAAAGUCUUAUCUCCAAUGCUAUUUAACAUCUAUAUGAAACCAUUGGGAACAGUCAUUAGCAUCAGUAAGAGGAUGACACUCAGCUCUUUUCCUCUGUUACAUUUGUCAGGUGUGGCUGUGCAAAACCUAGACCUAGACAUAAUGGUGGGCUGGAUAAGAGUAAAUAAGCUGGAUGCUGAUGAGUCAGAAGCCUUGUGUGUAAGUGAAUUCCCAAGUCUGGGGAUCAGGCAAUUUGCCUGCUCUAGGCAAUGUUGCACUCACCCAGAAGGAACAGAUAUGUAGCCUAAGGGUACUCCUUGAGCCAGCAAUGCCCUGAAGAUCUUCUAGUGAGAUCCCCCUGCUUAUAUCUCAGUCGCUUCUGGUACAGAGCCUAGGCGGGAAGCCUAAUCUGUAGUUGCACCCACCACAUGAAGCCACUUCCCCUAUGAAAGAAGGUGCUUACUAAAAACUUACCAUUUUCCAGAUGAGCCUGGAGGACAUUUCUUCAUAGGGUGAUUAAAAUAAUAAUAAUUAGUGAAAGGUCCUGAGUGCUCCCUGGAAGGACAGAUCGUGAAGCUGAGGCUCCAAUACUUUGGCCACCUCAUGAGAAGAGAAGAAUCCUUGGAAAAGACCCUGAUGUUGGGAAAGAUUGAGGGCACUAGGAGAAGGGGACGACAGAGGACAAGAUGGUUGGACAGUGUUCUCGAAGCUACGAACAUGAGUUUGACCAAACUGCGGGAGGCAGUGCAAGACAGGAGUGCCUGGCGUGCUCUGGUCCAUGGGGUCACGAAGAGUCGGACACGACUAAACGACUAAACAACAACAACAGUAUGUUAGUCCAAAGGGCCUUUCUGUGGAAGAAAAGCCACGUAGGGAGGAUCAAAGAACUGGCAGAAGAGGGGGUGCUUAAUCUCUCUCUCUCUCUCUCUCUCUCUCUCUCUCUCUCUCUCUCUCUCUCUCUCUCUCGUCACAUACACACAGUUUAAUUUGUGUUCAUUUGAAAUGCUGGGUGUAGAAUUUCAAACAGACAUUAAGUGCACAAGGAAAGGGUUAAGCACUACUCUCGGUCUACCCCACACCCAUGCUGACAGAAAAAGAGAAUAUGGUUGCAUUGUACCAUUUCCACAAGAUGUGAAUUUAGCCAGUAGUGCAUAAAUUUUAAAAUAGCUACUUCCAAAGCCCCAAGAUGAACUAACUUUACUAAAUUACUAUAAAUUUAUUACUUUUACUGUGCAUUAGAGUCAUGGUGAGCCAUCUUUUCACAGUGGUGUUAUUAAUUCUAGUUCAUACGCUUGCCAAUUAGUGGCCACAAGUCCCGUGGUAAAGAAAGUAGAAGCAUACCCUCCCUUCCACCGUGCACUUCCCAUAACAUGUAAUGUGUAGUACUAGGCCAGGCUUCCUCAACCUUGGCCCCUCCAGAUGUUUUUGGCCUACAACUCCCAUGAUCCCUAGCUAGCAGGACCAGUGGUCAGGGAUGAUGGGAAUUGUAGUCUCAAAACAUCUAGAGGGCCAAGGUUGAGGAAGCCUGUACUAGGCCAUACAACGGGGCUCAAUAUAUUUGGGGGGGAGGGAAUCCUGCAAAUAGAGCUUCCGUGCAGAGCACAUAUGUCACAUCACCUACAUGGGAAAUGGCAAGCAUGUGUGGUAAGCAAGUGGAUUUCAUCUGAAAAUUGGGCCAGAUUCAAAAGUUUUGUUAAGGCAGUGGCAGAUGAUGAUGAUGAUGAUGAUGAUGAUGAUGAUGAUGAUGAUUUUAUUUCUCCCCCACCCAUUUGGCUGGGUUUUCCCAGCCAGAUAAUGUCCCAGGAAUUGGAGGCAGUCACUUUUUGUGUGAUAGAUGUGAAAAUUUAUGCUGAAAUCCCCCCUCUUAACUAGGGGUCUGCCCCAUUGAGCACAGGAAGCUGACUUCUGAAUAAGCCCGUAUUCUAAGCAAAAUAAAAAAAUUCCUUCAGUAGCACCUUAAAGACCAACUAAGUUAUGAGCUUUCGUGUGCAUGCACACUUCUUCAGAUACACAGAGUUCCUCCUUUAUAAGCUUCUGUUUUGAAUAAAGAACGCCGAUAAGAUGUUUGAGUAGCUUCUUGGAUAAAGUGUGGCAAAGUUUCCUGGCAUAUUCUGUGGGAUACGUUGAUUGAAGGGGGUUCUUAAUUCUAAGACCCUUAGGAACAAUAUCCAGGUUCUUGCAUCUGGUCAGAAAUAUUAUGUCAGUUUGUACCUGUGCCAGUUUCUUGGUGAGGUUGAUGGACUUCCAUUUCAUGCGGCUCAAUGUGGUGCCUUCCAUAGUUCUAGUUACAGGUAGGUAGCCGUGUUGGUCUGAGUCGAAGCAAAAUAAAAAAAUUCCUUCAGUAGCACCUUAAAGACCAACUAAGUUAUGAGCUUUCGUGUGCAUGCACACUUCUUCAGAUACACAGUGUGCUCAUAACUUAGUUGGUCUUUAAGGUGCUACUGAAGGAAUUUUUUUAUUUUGCUUCGACUCAGACCAACACGGCUACCUACCUGUAACCCGUAUUCUAAGAGCAACAUGGAAUCCCCACCACCAAGCAGAUGUAGUUUUCAGGGGUGUUCACACUACAGAAAGAAUGUGUGAAUUAGAGCUAAAAUUGCUGAAACCAAAUUUUGCCAAUGCACACCUUUUGGCAAAGCACUUUCCCCUAAAAGAAUGCUUUCUUCUAUGUUAUGUUUACUGAUACAGUGGUACCUCUAGUUACAAACUUAGUUCGUUCCAGAGGUCUGUUCUUAACCUGAAACUGUUUUUAACUAGAGGCGUGCUUUCACUAAUGGAGCCUCUUGCUGCCGCUGCACUGCCGGCACAUGAUUUCCGUUCCCAUCCUGGGGCAAAGUUCUCAACUCGGGGUAACUCUUCCAGUUUAGCAGUUUGUAACCUGAAGCGUUUGUAACUUGAGAUACCACUGUAUAUGCAAUUUUAUGGACCCUUAAAACCCAAUAAAAUCAUUCCUCAAUGUUACAUCCGCUUCAGGUUGCAUGUUUUCGCCUUGCAUCCCACGGCAACCCGGAAGUACCGGAAUGGGUUACUUCCGGGUUUCGCUGCUCGUGCAAGCGCAGAAGUGCCAAAUCGUGCUUCAUGCAUGCGCAGGAGCAGCAAAUCGCACCGCACGAACGUGCAGACACAGCGCUUCAAGUUGUGGGCUUUUCACAUUAUGGGCAGCCUCCAGAACAGAUCCCGUCCGUAACAUGAGGUACCACUGGAUAUGCAUUUUAGUAAGCAUUGCUUGCCUGGAGAAUUGCAUCGCAAAAUUCAGAGAAGUGGAAACUUCAAAGGAUGGGUAGGUUCCAGUUCUUGUACUGUUUUGGAAAGUGCAAAUUUCAUAGGUUGUGAACUGAAUCUAAUUUCUCCACCAUCACAUAAUCCUUCUCCACUCCAAACAAUUUUCUUUUUCAAUUACACACUUUAUUGUGGAUAUCUGUAUUUUGUUUGUUGUGCUCGGCUUCUACAUUUUUAAUACAAUUUUUUAUAUUAAAAGAAAAACAGCAAUGCAGCUGCUGAAGUAAGUUGUAGAAAGCAAACACAUUUUCUCCUCCCUUCUCCUUUGUAUAUCAUGUCAGAAUCUGAUUUGACCAGCAGGUCCCUAGUCUUCAUUUUUUUUGCUUUUAAUGGUGGAGACUGUGGAGUCAAAACCAGUAUCUCAUUGUUAUGCAUGAAUAGGAAGUAUUCCUGUACUUAUUUGCAUUCAUUAGCUGUAGGUAGUUCCUCUGUAGGGGUCCCUAGUCUUGUUUUUACAGUGCUUUUGGCGGUGUUUCUGAGGCACGUGAAUUUUUAUGAUCUGUUGCAUGUUCGUGCAAUUUCCUGCCCUGUAAUGGUAUCGGUUUUCCGGGCGCAGAGGAAUAUAAACGAAAACCCAGGAGCCCACAUUAGCAUAAAAUGUCCCAGUUCUGUCAGUUUGAUUAAUUUGUCUCUUUGUCUCCACUCUAUAUGAUAAGUGCUAUUAAUGGCUGCAACACUUCAUAUGUCAAAGUCUUUCUUCCUAAUGACUUGAAAAUGUGGUUUAUUUCCCCUCUUUUGUAUUAUUUUCCUCAUUUAGCAUUCCACUCAAGUGUAGAUUUAUGCUGCGCUCUUUCAUUAUCUUACUGGUUGCAGCACUCGAGUGAUUACAUAUGGUGUUGGGGUAUGCGUAAAGAUGUGAUCCCAGGGGUAGCAGCUGCUGAUGCAAGCUGAAAAUAGAUCCUGCGUAUGCUCAGCACUUUUCCCAGAGGUCUUUUAUUUAUUAGUAACAGUCUUCGUGCAGGGCAGCUUGGAUCCUCAUUUAGCAAGAUGACUCUUUGCCUUUCAGAGAAAGGCAGUGACUUUGCUCUAUUUACCGACCGCUGUGUAAUUUUAUUUGUUUGUUUAUUUAUUUGCUGCUACUUGCUUUGUAUAUCCGUGCGGUGAUAUCACCUAAGCACAAAUUGUAAUACAACCCUGAUUUAUAAUGAAGUCAAGAUAUGACAGGCUCCAUUUGAAGUAAUGGAACCAGGCGGAUCUAAGAUUUAAAUUAAAUAAUCCUAUUUGUAAGACAGCGCUUGUACAUGCCGCACUGAUUUAAACUGAACUCUGGGCUUUCUCCAGUGAUUUCUUAUACUCGGUAUUGUUUCUCUAUUCCAUUUUUCCAUAGGGGAUAUUUUUUCUGUUAUAAAUUCAUUCAAGGAAAUUUUAUCUGCCUUAUGUACUGUUGAAAGAACUAGCCCGAUCCUCACGUUUCAUCAUUUCCUGCAUGUAAAAAAAAAAAGCCUUGUCUCAAGCAUAACUCCUAUACAGCCUUUCUGAAAUGUGUCAUACAUCUUUAAAUCUUUUUUUUUUAGAUUGACUCUCCAAACCUGUAAAGUGCCUACACAUUUUCUUUCAUAGGACAAAAAAGCAGAGCUUUGUGUUGAGGUGGGGAUUUAAACCAGGAAAGCCUUGCCAGGAAUAAAGGGUUAAAUAUCUCCUCCCCAGCACCACGGUCCUGGCCCUAUUUCUCCCCUGCGUCUGCCAGCCCCAUGAUUGUUUUAAGCAUAAAAAAGCAAACUUCAGGACCACCCACCAUCUCAUCAAGCUGCAUCCUUCAUUUGAAAGAUUUGUAUUUUCAUAUGCAUACCAUAAUAUUUUUAUGUAGGAAACUUUCUAUUUUGGAAGCUUUCAGAAGCAUGUGAAAAUGUAGCAUUCCAGGCUGGGAGGGGGGUGGAAUUCAGUUAAAUAGGCCAAAAUUGGACUAGGAUGAACAUGCUUCUUCCCACCCAUCCCUGAGAUUUCUAGACAGCAGAAUUAAAAUUUCCGGGAUGUUUACAGCUUUAUUAAAAUAAAAGUCAGCAAGGAAAUAAUGGCAAUGUCUUCUGUUUCCGCUUCCCCUUCUUUUUUUAAUACAUAAAUCAUUUAUGAAUAAAUGUAAAUAAUAAUUAGAGAGAGAGAGAGAGAGAGAGAGAGAGAGAGAGAGAGAGAGAGAGAGAGAGACUUCCUUUCAGAUGGAAAUUGAGAUGAAACCAACUUCCAGGCUGUAUUAAGUUAAUUGUGCAACUAUGAACCUUACAAGAAGCUGUCUUUCUUCCGGUAGUACUGCACAGGUGUGACCAGUUCUACCAAUCAGCAUUGCCCCUGGAAGUGCUCCCAUUGAAAAAAGAUUGCUUUAUAAGAUCACCCCCACCCCCUCACUGUUUUUUCUCAUCAACACUGUGAUUAGUUAUCACCUCCUGCUGGGAAGCUAUUCUCCCAUGAAACGGUUAGCCCAUAACUUGGAGAGGCAGAUAUUCUGGAAGAUAGCAAGUAUUAAUUCAAAUAGCUAGGAAGGUAGCACACACAUACGACAGGAGAAAAACCAUGGGGAAAACUUUUUAUUUUUAAUAAUUGAGUUCCACUCCCUUUGUAAUAUCACCACUUAAUAUACCGGUAAUAGGAGUGGGGUAGGUUAUAAUAGUGAAACCAGAGGCAGAAAGGGAGGGGGUUGAGGGAAAUAGUUCCCAUUCUACAAUAUCCUGCUUACUUUGUCCACAUGUCUCCCAUAAACAUUUAAACUUCCCCAGUCAAGGGGAAGGGCUAUUGCUCAGUGGUAGCACAGUUGAAUCCCUAGGUAUCUCCAGGUGAAUUUCCCUUGAGAGCUGCUGCCAGUCAGUGUAAACAGCUGAGCUAUUUGGACCAAUGGCUUGACUUUGUCCUUUAUUUCUGGAAUUGCAUUACAUUUUUUUUAAAAAAAUCUUUUUUAAUAUGCAAUCGAGAACAAAUAAAGAAAUAACAAAACAAUUGGAUGAAAAUUAAACAUACGCACACAAAAUGUGGGUCAUUUCAUUCACAAUCCCUGAAAAAAACAACACCAUUACUAUUGGUGUAGUAACAUGUGAUAAAAUCACCAGUAUAUAGUGCCACCUAUGCCAGUUAUUUUAUCACUUUUCUUUUGUAUUAUCACAUCUGUGACUCUUUCCCUUGAUGCCAUGUUUAUCAAAUGUUAUACCAAACUCCAGCCUUUGGUUAUGUCAUGUGUUUCCCAGGAUUAAUAGUGUAUUAUAUGUCUUACUAAUAACAGCUUCAGUAAAGGAAAGUAAUUUGGGAGGAAGUUGAGGGAAGACACAUGUACAUUCUGAUUCAAAACUCAUACUGGUGAUAUAUAAGUUACUAGUACCAGUAUUACUGUGGUUUGUAGCAUAAUCUGUCAUCAGUAGGAUUAAUGAUUAGUAUUAGUAUUCGUGUUGGUAGUGUUAAUAUUAUCUCCCCCCCCCAAAGGGUAAUGGGACAUACCUAUGGUAAACCAUAUGGCCAGAUGAUGCCUUGCGGAGCAUUCCAUCUUCAAUAACAAUAUACUACUUGCCCUGUGUUUCAGCUUUCUAACCUUAGAGAGAGCCCUCUGAAGGAAAUAAAAGGGAGUGGGGCAUAAGAACUAAAAUAUACUAUCUAUAGUAAACACUUCAAGAGUCUCUACUGACUGGUGACAUUCUCUACCGCUUUUCAUGAGCGGGAGGGGGGAGGGAGGAAUUGGAAACCAUGGCGUUGGAGUUGACCCGAAGUGUGCCUUGGAAACAAUGAGCUCUUCACUGAAAGAGAACACUUCAGAACAAGCCACAUUUGACCUACUUACGCUGCCAAAGAGGGAUGCUGUUAGAAAGCAAAGGGAAAACUGAAAGGCAAAUGGAAUGCGGAAGAAUUUAUGGUUUCCACUGCAGGAAAUGCAGCACUUUAGCAAGGAGCCUUUGUAAGAGGGAUGGUCCGUGCUCUGUCUGUCAGGGUGAGAGUGUGCUGUGGUGCCCUUCUGUUUUACUCUUCAGGUUGCAUCCUCGCCAUCCUGACCUUGUGCAGGCAAGCUUCAAAAAAGGGUGAUUUGCCACCCCCACCCCCCCAGUGAUUUGUUGUUUAAGAGUUAGACAUGAAAGUGCAAUGCUGUGAAAGUGAUUUCUUGAGUUGAAUGCAACAAAAGGAAGUUGAGGGGAGUCAUGAACAAACAAUAGAGCAGAUGGCAGAAGAACCAUGAAGUAGAUAAAUGUGAAGUUGGAUUUGCAUUCAUUUUGCAAUAUUUUAUAGUAUACUGGGCAGAAAAAGGGAUUCGCUCCUCCCUAGCUUUUUGUUGUUUCCUCCUUUGCCGCUUGCUGCAAUGUCUUUGGGUCUUCUAGAGUCUGUCUGGUUACAAUUCAUUUUAAUUUUUCUCAAGCAAGUCAGUAUACAUAUGGACCUCAACCUAUGUCAUUCAUAUGAGCAAAAUGCUAACUUCUCCCCCCACCCACGCACACCAAGUUGCUGUUCCUCAAAGAACCGUAACUCAUAUUGGCCCAUUUUAAUCUAAGCCUCCAUUAUCUGUUUUCUCAUUUUAGAAGAGGUAUAUCUCGUUCUGUUCUUUCUUUUAAAAAAAUAAACAUUUGCCAUAUCAGUAGUGGUUAAAUAGAUAGCUUAAUUUAAUUUCCUUUUUUCCCACUUGAAUCCAUAUGCACAAACACAUACACACUAUAUUCCAGUGCAAUUAAUCUAUAAAGAAACAAAUGGCCGAAUCUGAGUUUAAUAGACUUGCUGAUUCGGAAACCAAAUUUGGUGAUCAGAGAGACCAUACGUUUUUCUGCUGCUGUCAGUAUUCAAAAAAGUCCACCAGCUCAAGCCCUUCAAUGGGCUUUAUGCAAAUAAAGAAUGUCAAGAGUGUCACAUAAUUAAUGCUACAGAGAGAUGAUUAAAAUUAGGCUUAAUUAAAUUAACUAAGUUUUGUGGUGCUUAGAAGACUGAUCUUAAGCACUUUUUUUUUUAAAAAAAAAAGACAUGAAUCCACUCUUGGGGUUUGUGUGGAUUUGCAGAUUUUGUAUGUUACUAUAGUUGUAACAACAUAGAAUGGUUGUUUUGUAAGGUGUUUGUUGAUCAUUCAUUCUUGUUUCCUUCUUUGCUGUCUAUGAUAGAAAGAAAUGGGCAGGGGGGGAAGAGAGAAUAACACUUUACUUUGACAUCAGUAGCAAGAUGACAAAUUAUGCUCAUAAAAACAAAAACCUAUUUUUCUUGAAGCUGUCUAGGAGAAAGAGAGGCUACCUAUCACUUCAGAAGCAGGAGCCAGCAAUCUGCCAAAGAUGUAGAAGCAUGUGGGGGUGUAAUAGCCAGCAAGGCUUCAGUUGUCAUCAAAGGAGAAAGAAAGAGCUCCCAGUGAGGCAAAUGUUUUUUGUACGCUGUGCUAAAUUUUGGUUAGUGCUGAACUGCUGAAUGUGAAUUCUCCUUCCCUCUCCCAACAUUUUUUUCCUCUUCAAGUUUGUAGGUCCAUCCAAACUAUUUUGUGUAUCACCCCUCCCCCCACUGGACUUGUAUUCAUUUUCUAUUGAGAAUAGCUUCCCAAUUUUAUCACCUUCUUGCCAUGUCAAGAUCUAUUUCAUAGUCCUCUUCCUUGUAUUUUGAAGUAAAGGAGAUGCAUGCAAUAGGAAAGGAAUUAUAAAGCCACUAAAUUUACCAAAUGAGGACCUCGUCUUAGUUAAGAGGCACUAAACCAUGAUAAUAAUUUUCUAAUUACUAAAUAUAAGAUGAUUCAGCAUGCAGAAGGCUAUGUUUUUCAUCAUACGGAAGUAAAUGAAUGAACCAUCUGAAUAUCAUUUUGCUGUUCAUUAUUUUAUUCAGACAGCAUUAAUUGCAGUUAUUUUCUUUGAGUGUCUCUAAAAGUUUAUUUAUGCUGUUAAUAAGCAUGAGCAGCUGUAGUGGUACUGGCUGCCAGAACUGUAGCUUUUUUUAUAUACACUCUAAUGUAGCAAUAAAGCAAUAGGAAUAUAAAUUCAAAGUGAACAUGAUCCUGUCUUAGCAGAUGGAACCUGAGCUUGCUCGCACAUGCACUCCAUAUUCUUUUCCUCUCACAUAUGCAUAUACACGUCCUCUGGCAAAAUGGUUUUAUCAUUCUCAGUUGAAACCCCACAGACAAUAGCAUAGAAAGAAAGACUUCUGUCUGAUGGCAUUAAUCUAAAACUACAGUAUAAUGAUCUGGAUUGUAUUGCAGUUGCUAUUAUCUCUUAGGUGUUACAAAAGCGGAGAACUGUAAUGGAUGAAAUAGCUGUCUAGUGCUGGUCAUAGGGAAGACCUGCCCCCUUCUGGUCCUUUCUGUUCAAGAACUCAGUCUAGACCAGGGGUAGUCAACCUUUUUAUACCUACCACCCACUAAUGCAUCUUUCUUGAUGGUAAAAUUUCCUUACCGCCCACUAGUGCUCGAUGGAAGGAGGAGUCAGCUUGUGCUGUAGAACCCCCUACUGCCCACCUAGAAUCCUGAAGCGCCCACUAGUGGGCAGUAGGGACCAGGUUGACAACCCCUGGUCUAGACGAUUGGAAACAUAGAUGACAGCAAGGAGGGUGUGUGUGCGUAGUGCCUACAGACAACACAAAGUAGUGAGUGCUAUGAGGGAAAGCCAAAAUUAAUUGGUUCCUGACUCUUGGAGAUGGAGAUGCUUUCCCAGCUCCCCCCAAAUUAAUUCACAAGAUAGGAUUUCCCAGGGUCUGAUUUUACACCAUGUCAGUUAGUAACUUGAACCCUCUGCUUUUCCUUACUGAGGGGAAGCAGCUUCUGUUCAUGAAAAGCCCCCUUUACUCAUGAUAAGUCCCUUCCAUCAGUAGAAAUGAUGCAAAUACAGUGAAAACUUUGGAUCUUAGGCCACUGGUCUUAAGCGCAUUUAACUAGGCAGGGGGCAGUAGGUGGGCCAUGUAGGUGUCAUGCAGGGUUUCACCUGACCUAGAUGUCUCUUCCAACGCCAAACAUCCAGGCUGCCUAGAAUGUGAAGUCUCCCAUCUCCAACCCUAAUGAGGGAGACCUUGGGCUUCUAGAAGAGUUCUCAGCAGGCUUGUCUCCAGAGCUCCAGUUCAUCUGUGGCAAAAGAACCUCCUUUCCAAGUCAGAGGGGGAGGCAGGUGGAAUCUCCUCUCAGAAUCAGAUGGUGGAUGCCAGAAAUUUCAGGCUCAGGUGGCUACCUUGCAAAGGAGUGUGCACCUGAGAACACAGAGCUGCUUAGGAAUAAGGGGGUCAGGCAACAAGGCAGUGUCCCCAUGGGUUCCAUGUAAAAGUACUCUUGCAGUCCACUUGGUAUGAAAAGUUGGACCAUCCUGACCUAGACCCUGCUUUUUCUAUUCCCUUGUUCCUGACUGGUUCCAUUGUGCCUGCUAUUGACCUGGUUUUGUGUUUGUGGGAUUGGUGUUGGGGGAGAGAGCCUGUGCCCCAAGAAUUGAGUUCUAACCCAGUUGAAGCUAAACAGUAUGCAAUAAAUACACAGUUAAGAACAUGAAUAUUGGUCCCUGGGCAGCAGCACCUAUUCCACAAAAAAUGCAGAGUAAGCCUAAACACCCCAUUGUUAUCUCUCCAAACAUAACUGAAAGCAAGUACACUCUAAGUUUGAGUGUGCCCUUUGUGUCUUUCUCCAUCAAGUGGAUGUAGAAUGCCUUUGAGCUAAUAGUACCUUUUAAAAAUGUUCUUUAUACUCCUACUGAGGAGAGAGAAAUGACUAUAGAAGAGGCGUUGUUCAUUAUGUGCUGUAAGUAGACUGCUGUUCUAAAGCUUCUGUCUCAAAAUGUUGAAGGCAUGGCUAUAGUGUUAUAUACUAGUAUGCAGCACAAUCCAAACAUCGUUAGUUUGAUCUGUUUUGGGGGAUGUAGCCCCUUGUUUAAGCUGAGGGCAGCACUGAAGGAUGACCCCCUUUUUCAGUAGAGCUAUGCUGACAAUGUGCAUGCAAAGAAUGAAUUAAAAUGCAAGUUGCAUCGGUCCUGAGAAUCACUAAGUGUAGGAACAAAGUACAGUAAGUGCCAAAUUUGGGGGGAGGGGAUAGAAUGGGAAAAACUAAGGAAUUGGUAUUUCAGAUUCUCCCAAAAGACUAGAAAUUGAAAACUAUAGAUAAUCACUUUAUGGUUGUUUUGGAUGGUAUAUAAAGGCCUGCAGGAAGACAGGAUAUUUAUACAGGGCUGCAGCUUACCAGUUAAUGAUUUUAAUUGCCUUGUUAUCUAGUCAAGUGGAAUCCUCUUUUGACAGUGGAUUCAGUAGCCCAGCUGAAGUUCCCACCAUUUGGAACAUUAGAAUAGUUUAGUUGCAUUACUGAUUCAAGUGUUUUUCUCCUCAAUAUUAUUUCUUUGCCGCUCAGUAGUAACAUUGCCUCCUUUUGAAAUGUUAGCCUCCUGACUGAACAUAGUCUUGAGCACACACAGUCAAUAAUUUAUCCAAAAAUUCCUGGUGGUGUUUUUAUGUUUGGAUAUUUUAUAAUGGUCCGGGUAUAAUUCAGGUCCUUGCUUGAUGCGCUUGCUAUGAUGCAUACUCACUAAGUGUCGUUUUUGCUAAAACAUACACAAAAUCUGCUUCCCCCAGCCUACUCAGCAACAUUUACUAGCAGAUGCUGACUGGAGGGCUCUUGCCAUGAAGGCUUAAUUUCACUGCAAAAUACACCAGAGUGUGUUUUCCAGAAGGCUGUCAAAAGUAUUUGCAUAAAUCUCCAAGCUGAAUCCUGAUUUGUGUAGAAAAAGCGAAAGCAAAUGGCCCCUCUGCACAAUAGGUUGAAGAAUCAGUGGUGGAGUUGCACAAUACGUGUGUGUUUGUUAUUUCCCUCAAAGUGGCUCUUCUGAUGCAGGUCUAUUUCACUACCCAAGAAUUUGAGUGUGUUUUUUAGAAAUAUAAUGAAAUGUUAAAUUCCCCUAGAAAGCUUAUCUCCAGCUUUUGGAUUCAUAAAAAAGUAUAACAAUAGUUUUAACAGUAGAGAUGAGCAUCUCCACUCCCCAUCCUGACCCUCCUCCCAAAUCCUCCCAAUUUUUUUAUUUACUUAGACUACAAUCCAGAGAUGCCCUUAUUUUCAGAUUUAUUUAUUUUUUUUAAAAAAAAUCAAAAUCAAAAUGUUAAGCCACUACAUUUAAAGAACUGGAGACAGAUCCUCAGGAAACACUCUUCAGACUUGUCUGUCUGGAUGAAUUCAGGCCUCCUGGCCACAAUAUUUUGUCACAGUUAAGGAGUUUUAAAAGGUUUCUGGCACGUUGGUCUGUUUAAUAUAUCUAAUUAUAAGUAUGUAUGUGGAAAGUGGUACCAUUAGUGUUCGCUAUAUAUGUGCCAAUUCCCUGGAACAAAAGAGAAAGAUGUUACAUAGGAAACUGAGACAUAGUGAACUAGUAUAUAAUAAUAAUAAUUACUUUAAAAAAAUUAUUUAUACCCCACCCUCCCCAGUGAGAGCCGGGCUCAGGGUGGGCUCAGUAUACCGUAUUGGCCUGACUAUAAGCUGCACUCCCCCCCCCAAAAAUAAUAAUAAUUCCAACAGUGGAAAGUUAAAGUGUGGCUUAUAUUCACAACCUUACACUGCUGGCAAAGUGGCACGGCUUCCCCCCCCCCCAAGGCAGCAACCCGGGUAUUGUCUCCUCCCCCCUUCAAUUUUAAAGGUGCGACUUAUUUGCGGUUUAUAUUCGGGUGAAUACCAUACUUGUACCAGGCUAAAAAGCAGAGCAUUUUCGUCAUACAAUCUUCCUCAUAGUAAUCGGUCCUCUAUUGUGGGUGUUCUUUCUUUCCGAAUAUCUCUGUUCUCGUUCUCUCUCUCUCUCUCUCUCUCUCUCUCUGUGUGUGUGUGUGUGUGUGUAAACAUGUUUUGAAAGAUUAAUACAUAUAAUGAUUUAAAAAUUAGUGAAAAUCACUGCAUGAAAUGUGCAUGUAAGCAACUCUGCAUUGGGGUGGGGGUGCCAGAUACUGCCCUCUGUCAUUUGGUGAAAAAGCUGAUCAUUCGGCAUAGCAGCUCUUGAAUUACAAAGUUCACAAGUGAGAAAUUCUGCCUUAUUUUAAGAGGUAAUAAUUUUUUUAAAAAACUCCAGUCAGUCUGUUUAACUUGUAAUGUGAUGAAAUUACACUUUGAGUGUAUUUGGUACUAGGUACAGACACACUAUGAAAUCCUCAUUUCCAAUCACCAUAUGUCAUGUAACAUCCUGCUGAAGUUCUGCAACCUUUCAUAUCACAAAUGUUCCAGGUGUUUUUUUUUCUGUCAUACUAUUGUUGCACUAUAGUGCAAGAGUGCUUCUCCAAAUGACAAUAACACAAUUACAAUCACAGUACAACUAGUAAAGCAGAACAAUGUGUGGACAGCUCUAUUUAAAUCCACCGUUAAUGCACUGUUGCAUUAGUGAGAUGUAGCAGAAUAUACCCACAAAAAAACACUCCUCAGUCUGGUCUCCCCCACACAUUAUACCAGCACCCUGGCUUUUAAAAAAGAAUAAGUAUGCUAAUUACAGCAAAUGAGAUUAGAAGUCAUGUUUAAUCCCAGAGACUUUUGUAAGGCUAUGGGGAAAAAAUAGAAACAGAGUUAACUGUCACUAAGCUUAUCUUGUUUCUAGGGACUGGUUUAUUAUAUAAAUUGUAGCUUUAGGAAAAUGCCAAGUGAGGCUAUUAAGUAAAUUGACUAAUAGAGCUGAGGGGAGAAAGGCAAACCACCUAUGAAGCAAGUAGAAAUUCAGGCUGGCACAGGCAUAAAAAAUAACUAAACUUCAGGAAUCCAAACAUAAAUUCCACUUCCAUCUCUACCUAGGUUCAGCAUCAUAUUCAGCCAUUCCCAACCUGGCAUUGCCCCAAACUUGCUUCGAGAACCUUAAGAGUUGUCUAGAACCCUGAACAUGGCUGGUUAGAGGGAAUGUGUGCCUGAGAACAGAAGGAUAGGAAGUCAUGAGCGCAUUAUGAUCCCACAGCCUGCUGUGGGAGCUCUACUUAGUGUUUACAUCUGUGCAUGGUCAUAGAUGGCUUCUUAUGCUAGAUAAAGAUCAUUGCAUUAUGGGCAAGCAACUGCACCCACCACCCCAUUGUAUGAGGUGAGCACCCAAGGAGGUGAGUGGGUAUAAGCAAGACAUAAAGGAGACAUAACCAAGUGAUAGAAUGGUGGAGAGAAGGUUCUCUAAACCAGGCAUGUCAAACCUGCGGCCCUCCAGAUGUUUUGGCCUACAACUCCCAUGAUCCCUAGCUAGCAGGACCAGUGGUUGGGGAAGAUGGGAAUUGUAGUCCAAAACAUCUGGAGGGCCACAGGUUUGACAUGCCUGCUCUAAACAGUUGCCAUCACAGGCAAGCCUUCCCAAGUUGAAUACUGUGGUCUGGGUUCAACUAACUGUUCCCACUAGAGGAAACCUGCACAAGGACUUCUGCUAGCACAAUAGGGCUUUCUCCCCCUCCCCAUGUCCUAGUGGAAGGUGGGGAGGAACAUGCAUGAUCUACUGACUCAUCCCAAGUCUUGCUAACUCACACCAGCCAGGGCAGAGAGAAGGGCAAUGUUCGCCUUAUCAUUACACCAGCUCCAGGCUGAAUCAGGCCCCUCUCAGGAGAAUGGAGGAGCUAAGGAGCAUUUCCUGGAAGCACUUUAUUGUCCGAAAGGAACAAUUGCAGGAAACUGGGGAGGAUUUAUUUAUUUUUUAAUAAAUUCUAUACUGCUGUAUCACAAAAAUAUGUCACAAUGGUUUAAAAUAAUAUGAAAACAUAAAACCAAACAAUAAAAUUAUUAAAAGUUACAAACAAGUAAAAAAUAAAUUAAAAACAGUCAUCAAUGGUGACUGUGAGGGAUGAUGAUGAUUUUAUUUAUGAUGUACCGGUAUAUUCCGCCCAUCUAACUGGGUUGUCCCAACAAAAAAUAUAGUAAAAACAAAAUACUCUGUUACCAGCAAUAGGCCUGGCAGAAUAGAAUGGAAUAGAAUAGAAUAGAAUAGAAUAGAAUAGAAUAGUUUAUUGGCCAAGUAUCAACCAUACUUGGAAUUUUGCUUCAACUACAUUGCAAUGCAAAGAAUAACAUACCUCAUACAAACACCAUUCCCCUCACAAUACAACAGCACAGCUGUUUUUAUUGAUUUUACAAUUUUAUCUUCAACACUUAUUCUUCAUAAAAAAAAUAACCAAAAAAAGAGUUUUAGACAUAAACAUAAGACAUUAACACUUUUUUCAUUGUAUAAACACCAUCACUUUCUUUGUGGAGGUUCUCUUUAACCUCCUGACUUCUCUCCAUUUCCUUUUCUGGUUCAUUGAAUGUAUACCUUUUCUGCAUAACUAUAAUUAAACCUCUUAUUCUUAUUCUCAUUAUUUUGUCAAUAUGUAACUGAUUAUUACCAUCAAACCUUAGUAUUUCAAUUCAAAUUCCCUUUCUUUUACUUUAUCUCAUUUUUAACUGCUUGCAGGUAUUUAAUCAAAGCCUGCCAAUGUUUCUACUUGUUUACAAUAUUUUUGUACAUAUACAAUAAAUGUUUCCCAUUCUUUUUUAAAUUUUUCAUUAUCGUUGUCUCUGAGCUUUUCUGUGAGUUUAGCCAUUUCAGCAUAGUCCAUCAAUUUCAGUUGCCAUUUUUCUAUAGUUGGUUUCAUGUCUUCCUUCCACCUUUGUGCUAAUAGAAUCCAGGUUGCUGCUGUUGCAUACAUAAACAAUUUCUUCUUUUCCUUCGAGAUACCUUCCUGUUAUUCCUAGUAAGAACACUUCUGUUUUUUU